rnacentral:rRNA from 1 species
UACGUAGGUGGCAAGCGUUGUCCGGAAUUACUGGGUGUAAAGGGAGCGCAGGCGGGUGCGCAAGUUGGAAGUGAAACUCAUGGGCUCAACCCAUGACCUGCUUUCAAAACUGCGGAUCUUGAGUGGUGUAGAGGUAGGCGGAAUUCCCGGUGUAGCGGUGGAAUGCGUAGAUAUCGGGAGGAACACCAGUGGCGAAGGCGGCCUACUGGGCACUAACUGACGCUGAGGCUCGAAAGCAUGGGUAGCAAACA